CACGUAGGGCGCGAGCGUUGUCCGGAAUUAUUGGGCGUAAAGAGCUCGUAGGCGGUUCGUCGCGUCGGCUGUGAAAACCUGAGGCUCAACCUCAGGCCUGCAGUCGAUACGGGCGGACUUGAGUACUGCAGGGGAGACUGGAAUUCCUGGUGUAGCGGUGAAAUGCGCAGAUAUCAGGAGGAACACCGGUGGCGAAGGCGGGUCUCUGGGCAGUAACUGACGCUGAGGAGCGAAAGCGUGGGGAGCGAACAGG
rnacentral:rRNA from 1 species